rnacentral:rRNA from 1 species
CAAGGAAUUUUCCCCAAUGGGCGCAAGCCUGAGGGAGCAACGCCGCGUGGAGGAUGACGGCUUUCGGGUUGUAAACUCCUUUUGGGUGGGACGAUGAUGACGGUACCAUCCGAAUAAGCCCCGGCUAACUCCGUGCCAGCAGCCGCGGUAAGACGGAGGGGGCAAGCGUUGUCCGGACUUACUGGGCGUAAAGCGCACGUAGGCGGUUGGCUGCGUCGGUGCUGAAAGCGCCCCGCUUAACGGGGCGAGGCGUGCCGAUACGAGCGAACUGGAGGUCAGCAGAGGGUGGCGGAAUUCCGGGUGUAGUGGUGAAAUGCGUAGAGAUCCGGAGGAACGCCUGUGGCGCAAGCGGCCACCUGGGCUGGACCUGACGCUGAGGUGCGAAAGCGUGGGGAGCGAACCGG